UCCUGCACCAACCGACAACGAGCGAACAUCUUGCCAUACACUGCUGGGAAGUUUUGAACACAUUCAACUGGGCAGCGCUUUGUGCGUAUCGAAUAUUCCGCAUCUGCAACAUAUGUAAUUCGACAAAAAACGAGGCUUCGCAAAUUGGGUGCCUAAUACACGGACUGGGGAUGGGGACUAAUUGCGAUCGCACCAAAAGUAGGGUCAAGCUGUUCUCUCUACAACUGUUGCAGCAGAAAGUGGAGUUCAGCGCAUGUGGGCUAUUCGUUAUCGACCACGGGUUGGCUUUCAAUAUUGCCGGGGCGAUGGCUACCUACAUUCUGAUACUGCUGCAGUUCGAUGUGGCCCAAAAUGGUUCGCAGUGGAAACGAUCCCACUAGAGUGCAUUCACACAAUAUGACCACCAGAAUUGAUUCUAGUUGUCUACUCAAUUUAAAUGCUAAUAUUGCACGACAGCAACGCUUUACACUUGUUGGAUCGCUGGCAGACACGCUGAGCUUCUACUACGCAAAAUGAACUCUCAAGUUCAAUAACAUUUGUUGAAAAACCCUAUGAUUUUUUUAAAUGAGCGUAAUCAAUUUUGACCUUGAAUUUUGACAACUGAUGUAGCCAAAAGAGAUAAUAGAAUCUACUCUAUAUGACAGUAAAGCUUGUUGAACAAAAUAGGCUCAAUAUGGAAAGUAUUGGUCAUUGGAAAUGUUCAUGUCAAUUACAAUUACGCCUAAAGUACAUAUAAUCAUUACAAUGAGUAUAAGAAAAUUACAGUGAUGAAC